UACGUAGGGUGCAAGCGUUAAUCGGAAUUACUGGGCGUAAAGCGUGCGCAGGCGGUGAUGUAAGACAGGUGUGAAAUCCCCGGGCUCAACCUGGGAACUGCAUCUGUGACUGCAUCGCUGGAGUACGGUAGAGGGGGAUGGAAUUCCGCGUGUAGCAGUGAAAUGCGUAGAUAUGCGGAGGAACACCGAUGGCGAAGGCAAUCCCCUGGGCCUGCACUGACGCUCAUGCACGAAAGCGUGGGGAGCAAACAGG
rnacentral:rRNA from 1 species